rnacentral:lncRNA from 1 species
CAAUGACUCCGAACCUUUCCAAUCUAUCAAGUAGAUAUGCAUAAUUUGUAAGUUAACGAACCUAUUAACACUCAUAUUAUUCUGUGUCUCUUCUAAACCCAAAAACUCACCUAAUUCAAUAAUCAACUUAAUAUAUUCUUGAGUCAUAGCAAGAUAACUAUAGAAACAUUGGAACAUUUACUUAAGUGCUACUAACAACAACCCCAACUACGAAACAGAAAACAACCGAGAAAACAAUUUAACAGUCCUAUACCCAAUCUAAAUUUUAACAUAUAAUAUUAACAUGUACUACCUAUCGUUACUCUGUUUGGCCUAACUUUUCUCUCAACCUUCAUCUGACAGCAAUAACUAUACAUAUGCCAAUUAACACUCCCACUUUAGAAUAUAAUAAUAAUAAUAAAUAAUCAAAGUUGAGGCCACUGGUUACGAAACCAGUGGCGAUACUUUUGAACCCAACAUAAAAAUCUUACUAUUGAAGAAAGCCACUUACAUAUAUAAAUAAUAAUAUAUAUACAUAUAUAGUAUCCUUCAAACCAUUGUAAUACCCUAUUCUCCUCACGUUAUUAAUUUACUUUGUUAAUCCACAAUUUGACCAGUGAUAAUCACGCCUACCACAUCAACCUGAACAACUUCCAAUUUUUAUCGGAUGUCGGCAAUUUCAAUUAUAAUAAUAACGAUAAUAACAUGAUUCAUACCAAUAUACCCAACACAAGAUUUAGGCGAAUGAUUUACCUGAAGUCUAGGGCACUCGCGUUCUUCUUUCGUUCACGCUGCUUUAUGUUAUUCCCCUCUUCCGUUCUUUUCUUUUCCUCUAUAAAUUAUUUUUACCCUAAUUAUAAUAUGACUAAUUAUAAGAGUGGUAAAAACUGUCCCACUACAAAUUUUACUAUUAUUUCCCUUAACCUCUAACUAAAUAAAUUAUAAAAAUUACCCCACUAUUUCCAUAUUGUAGUUACAAAUAGUCCAAAAUAACUAUUUAGAAUCUAUCGAAAAGUAUUUUAUGAAAUCAAAAGCUCUAGUACUCAAAACGACCAAACGGGUCGUUACA